rnacentral:rRNA from 1 species
AUUGAACGCUGGCGGAAUGCUUUACACAUGCAAGUCGAGCGGCAGCGAGGGGCAACCUGGCGGCGAGCGGCGAACGGGUGAGUAGUACAUCGGAACGUACCCGGUUGUGGGGGAUAGCCCGGCGAAAGCCGGAUUAAUACCGCAUACGACCUGAGGGUGAGAGGGGGGGAUCGCAAGACCUCUCGCAGUUGGAGCGGCCGAUGGCGGAUUAGCUAGUUGGUAGGGUAAAGGCCUACCAAGGCGACGAUCCGUAGCGGGUCUGAGAGGACGACCCGCCAAACUGGAACUGAGACACGGUCCAGACUCCUACGGGAGGCAGCAGUGGGGAAUUUUGGACAAGGGGGGCAACCCUGAUCCAGCCAUUCCGCGUGAGUGAAGAAGGCCUUCGGGUUGUAAAGCUCUUUCGGCAGGAACGAAACGGUCCUUUCUAAUACAGAGGGCUAAUGACGGUACCUGAAGAAGAAGCACCGGCUAACUACGUGCCAGCCGCCGCCGUAAUAC